rnacentral:rRNA from 1 species
CCUAACACAUGCAAGUCGAACGGUAACAGGAAGAAGCUUGCUUCUUUGCUGACGAGUGGCGGACGUGUGAGUAAUGUCUGGGAAACUGCCUGAUGGAGGGGGAUAACUACUGGAAACGGUAGCUAAUACCGCAUAACGUCGCAAAACCAAAGAGGGGGACCUUCGGGCCUCUUGCCAUCGGAUGUGCCCAGAUGGGAUUAGCUAAUAGGUGGGGUAACGGCUCACCUAGGCGACGAUCCCUAGCUGGUCUGAGAGGAUGACCAGCCACACUGGAACUGAGACACAGUCCAGACUCCUACGGGAGGCAGCAGUGGGGAAUAUUGCACAAUGGGCGCAAGCCUGAUGCAGCCAUGCCGCGUGUAUGAAGAAGGCCUUCGGGUUGUAAAGACUU